CAGAGGACAUAUAAAAUAACUGUUGCCUGGAAAGUCUGACCUGGAACAGAGACUAGACAGAGCAAAAGGGAUAAAAUAGGAAUUUAUUGAAAGGAUUC